GGGUUGUGAGGUUAAGCGACUAAGCGUACACGGUGGAUGCCCUGGCAGUCAGAGGCGAUGAAGGACGUGCUAAUCUGCGAUAAGCGUCGGUAAGGUGAUAUGAACCGUUAUAACCGGCGAUUUCCGAAUGGGGAAACCCAGUGUGUUUCGACACACUAUCAUUAACUGAAUCCAUAGGUUAAUGAGGCGAACCGGGGGAACUGAAACAUCUAAGUACCCCGAGGAAAAGAAAUCAACCGAGAUUCCCCCAGUAGCGGCGAGCGAACGGGGAGCAGCCCAGAGCCUGAAUCAGUGUGUGUGUUAGUGGAAGCGUCUGGAAAGGCGCGCGAUACAGGGUGACAGCCCCGUACACAAAAAUGCACAUGCUGUGAGCUCGAUGAGUAGGGCGGGACACGUGGUAUCCUGUCUGAAUAUGGGGGGACCAUCCUCCAAGGCUAAAUACUCCUGACUGACCGAUAGUGAACCAGUACCGUGAGGGAAAGGCGAAAAGAACCCCGGCGAGGGGAGUGAAAAAGAACCUGAAACCGUGUACGUACAAGCAGUGGGAGCACGCUUAGGCGUGUGACUGCGUACCUUUUGUAUAAUGGGUCAGCGACUUAUAUUCUGUAGCAAGGUUAACCGAAUAGGGGAGCCGAAGGGAAACCGAGUCUUAACUGGGCGUUAAGUUGCAGGGUAUAGACCCGAAACCCGGUGAUCUAGCCAUGGGCAGGUUGAAGGUUGGGUAACACUAACUGGAGGACCGAACCGACUAAUGUUGAAAAAUUAGCGGAUGACUUGUGGCUGGGGGUGAAAGGCCAAUCAAACCGGGAGAUAGCUGGUUCUCCCCGAAAGCUAUUUAGGUAGCGCCUCGUGAAUUCAUCUCCGGGGGUAGAGCACUGUUUCGGCAAGGGGGUCAUCCCGACUUACCAACCCGAUGCAAACUGCGAAUACCGGAGAAUGUUAUCACGGGAGACACACGGCGGGUGCUAACGUCCGUCGUGAAGAGGGAAACAACCCAGACCGCCAGCUAAGGUCCCAAAGUCAUGGUUAAGUGGGAAACGAUGUGGGAAGGCCCAGACAGCCAGGAUGUUGGCUUAGAAGCAGCCAUCAUUUAAAGAAAGCGUAAUAGCUCACUGGUCGAGUCGGCCUGCGCGGAAGAUGUAACGGGGCUAAACCAUGCACCGAAGCUGCGGCAGCGACGCUUAUGCGUUGUUGGGUAGGGGAGCGUUCUGUAAGCCUGUGAAGGUGUGCUGUGAGGCAUGCUGGAGGUAUCAGAAGUGCGAAUGCUGACAUAAGUAACGAUAAAGCGGGUGAAAAGCCCGCUCGCCGGAAGACCAAGGGUUCCUGUCCAACGUUAAUCGGGGCAGGGUGAGUCGACCCCUAAGGCGAGGCCGAAAGGCGUAGUCGAUGGGAAACAGGUUAAUAUUCCUGUACUUGGUGUUACUGCGAAGGGGGGACGGAGAAGGCUAUGUUGGCCGGGCGACGGUUGUCCCGGUUUAAGCGUGUAGGCUGGUUUUCCAGGCAAAUCCGGAAAAUCAAGGCUGAGGCGUGAUGACGAGGCACUACGGUGCUGAAGCAACAAAUGCCCUGCUUCCAGGAAAAGCCUCUAAGCAUCAGGUAACAUCAAAUCGUACCCCAAACCGACACAGGUGGUCAGGUAGAGAAUACCAAGGCGCUUGAGAGAACUCGGGUGAAGGAACUAGGCAAAAUGGUGCCGUAACUUCGGGAGAAGGCACGCUGAUACGUAGGUGAAGUCCCUCGCGGAUGGAGCUGAAAUCAGUCGAAGAUACCAGCUGGCUGCAACUGUUUAUUAAAAACACAGCACUGUGCAAACACGAAAGUGGACGUAUACGGUGUGACGCCUGCCCGGUGCCGGAAGGUUAAUUGAUGGGGUCAGCGCAAGCGAAGCUCUUGAUCGAAGCCCCGGUAAACGGCGGCCGUAACUAUAACGGUCCUAAGGUAGCGAAAUUCCUUGUCGGGUAAGUUCCGACCUGCACGAAUGGCGUAAUGAUGGCCAGGCUGUCUCCACCCGAGACUCAGUGAAAUUGAACUCGCUGUGAAGAUGCAGUGUACCCGCGGCAAGACGGAAAGACCCCGUGAACCUUUACUAUAGCUUGACACUGAACAUUGAGCCUUGAUGUGUAGGAUAGGUGGGAGGCUUUGAAGUGUGGACGCCAGUCUGCAUGGAGCCGACCUUGAAAUACCACCCUUUAAUGUUUGAUGUUCUAACGUUGACCCGUGAUCCGGGUUGCGGACAGUGUCUGGUGGGUAGUUUGACUGGGGCGGUCUCCUCCUAAAGAGUAACGGAGGAGCACGAAGGUUGGCUAAUCCUGGUCGGACAUCAGGAGGUUAGUGCAAUGGCAUAAGCCAGCUUGACUGCGAGCGUGACGGCGCGAGCAGGUGCGAAAGCAGGUCAUAGUGAUCCGGUGGUUCUGAAUGGAAGGGCCAUCGCUCAACGGAUAAAAGGUACUCCGGGGAUAACAGGCUGAUACCGCCCAAGAGUUCAUAUCGACGGCGGUGUUUGGCACCUCGAUGUCGGCUCAUCACAUCCUGGGGCUGAAGUAGGUCCCAAGGGUAUGGCUGUUCGCCAUUUAAAGUGGUACGCGAGCUGGGUUUAGAACGUCGUGAGACAGUUCGGUCCCUAUCUGCCGUGGGCGCUGGAGAACUGAGGGGGGCUGCUCCUAGUACGAGAGGACCGGAGUGGACGCAUCACUGGUGUUCGGGUUGUCAUGCCAAUGGCACUGCCCGGUAGCUAAAUGCGGAAGAGAUAAGUGCUGAAAGCAUCUAAGCACGAAACUUGCCCCGAGAUGAGUUCUCCCUGACUCCUUGAGAGUCCUGAAGGAACGUUGAAGACGACGACGUUGAUAGGCCGGGUGUGUAAGCGCAGCGAUGCGUUGAGCUAACCGGUACUAAUGAACCGUGAGGCUUAACCUUACAACGCCGAAG
rnacentral:rRNA from 1 species